GUGUGGGAAGCUCCUGUGCGCAGCGAGAGCGGCCGGCUGAAGUCACUGCGUUGUUCUUUCUUUUCCAAGUUGAUAGUGGGUCCCGGUCCUGCGGUCUUGCUUUGUUUUGCAAAUCGCAGAAUCACAGAACGGGGGAGGAUGGAAGGGACUGCAAUGGGUCAACUGGUCCAAGCUCCCUGCUCAAGCAGCACUUGGCACAGGAUCCCAUCCGGAUGACUCUUGAGUAUCUCCUGUGAGGGAGGCUCCACAACCUCUCUGGGCACCUGAUCCAGUGCAUGGUCACCCACACAAGAGAGUUUUUCCUCAUGUUCAGGUGGAACUUCUGUGCAUCCAUUUCUGCCCAUUGCCUCUUGCCCUGUUGCUUAGCACCACUGAUGAGAGCCUGGCUCCACCUUCCUUCAGAUACUGAUAGACAUUGAAGAAGUCCACACUCAAUCAUCUGUUCUUGAGGCCAAACAGGCCCACUCCCUCAGCCUAUCGUCCAGCUGAUCAUUCAUCCUUAUUGCACUCCACUGGUUGCUCCAGGAGCUCCACAUCUCCCUUGUAUUGAGGAACCAAGAACUAACACACCACUUCUGAUACAGUCUCACCAGGGCUGAGUAGAGGAGCAGAAUCAACCCCCUCGAGCUGCUGGCCGUGCUCUUCCUAGAGCACAGGACACCAUUAGCCUUCUUGGCCACAAGGACACGGCUGGCCCAUGGCUUGCUGCCCACCAGGACCCCCAGGUCUUUCUCUGCAGAGCUGCUUUCCAGCAGGUCAGUGGUAAUGAUAAGCUCCCACCUCAAAGGGUGGAACCUGAUGUAUGUCUAUUUUUUUCCCUCCUUCGUGUCAGUGAAGAACUUGGAAACCAGCAGAAGCGCUCCAGGAUUAAGGAUAAUUUUUGGUCAUGGAAUAGUCAAUGGUGAAGAUACCUUCCAGUGAGAUGCCACCAUGAAGUGCAGACAGCAGGUGACUUCAGUGAGUGAUUCAAUGAGGCCCCUUCUGAAGACUCAGUGCCCAUUUGCAUGGAGCUGCCAGAGGAGCUGUGUCAGCUGGCAGAAUACAGAAACUGAGAAGGGAGAAAGUAAUAGAAGACUACAGAAUGAAUGAGGAUGGUCUUUUGAUCCAACCAGCCAUGGAAUUUAAUAGAGGGAAACAAUCCACAGAAACUACAGAGAUGAUGGUGAUUGCUUUCCCACAAAAAAAAAAAAAAAAAGGCAAAAAAGCAGGGUCUCAAAACACAUCCUUCAACAAUCAAGGAUGUACUUUUGUACUUUGUCAAAUUGAUAUGGUAAAACCUGUGGGAGGACUUUAAACUGACCUCAAGCAGACUGUAUGAAUUUGAUUUCUGACACAGGUGAUUUGAUGAGCUUAGAUUGGAUGUUUGGAGACAUCCAAGUGAAAAAAAGAGGCUACUCCCCAUGCAGAGGUGUCCAACAAAAGCUCCUGACUUUACAAUGACAGAUAAUUCAACAUUCCACUGUUGAAUGGAAAUAACGAUGGUCUGUCUUUUGGAGGGAAUUCCUGCUGUGUCUGGCUGUUCUUCUCUAGGUCUAUUUUUGAGAUUCAUUCUUUCUGAGAGCUAUUUUUGAUUUUAGAAGAGUGACUUUUCUUUUUCUUGCAUUGUUAACAGACCACUUCCUUAAACUGUAUUAGUUCUUUUGCUACCUGUUGCAGGUAUGUAAAACUCAUUAGAGCAGCUUCCUGCUGGAAGCUGCAGACCACCACCACCACUGUUGUUCACCACGCUGCCACAUCCAGCUCUGUGGAUAAGGCUGUAACACCACUGUGCUGUGUGGUGUGUGUAAAAAGCACUUUAGAAGGUAAAGACCAGUCCCUCCCCAGGCAAAAUAAAGUAUUAGGGCAAAACUACUGCUCUGUCACAGGACAAAAUUAAUGUGGGCCGUGCCUCAGUCUCAGAACAAGCUUUCUGACAUAUCAGCGAACACUGAAUGUAGAAUAGGGAAGAAUGGAGAAGGAUCAAAGGUGACUGUGCCAACCAGAUGGCAGUCCAUGAACAAUCUGGGCAUCAGGCUGCAAAGGUGGGAAUAAUAAUGACACCAGCUUGGAAGGGAUGUGACAUCGGUAUGUCAGUACGUGCCACUCGCUACCUGUUUGCGUUGGUUUUCUUUGAUGCAAAUUGGUGUGACUGUGCUUAUGAUGUAUCUAAGCAUUUAAAAAGUAUUUUUGGGGAAACAUGUUGGUUUUCUGGUGUGUUGGGUUUUUUUACCUCUCCCCACAAAGUACUAGAUUGGCACUAUUUAAAUAGGUUUUCAUUUGAAACUGUAAGUCAGACUUCUUCACUUGGCAGAGUGAUAGAAAAACUGCCAAGGUUUUCUUUGUCAUUAAACUGAAGGAAGAUUUUUCCAAGCAGUCAUGGGUUAUCACAGAUCAGUGGGGUACAGUGUGGAACAUGCAGGCUCUUCUGUCAGAGACAGCUCAAGAGCACUUAGGUUGUAUUUCCACAACAGGGUCCAUGCAGUCCUAUUACCAGACAGAAAAUAGUGAUAUGUCAGGUAAGGGAAAGAGGGGGGGGAAGAGGAGCUGAGAGAUGAAGGCAUCAAGUCUGGGAUGCAGUAUGGAAUGUUUUUACAUGAUACAAAGUAAUUGUUGGGCUACCCUUCUCUUACCCUUGAUAAGAGACUGAGUGCUUUCUCAGCCUCUUCCAAGGACUUGAUCUCUGACUGGAAUGGCAUUAUCAUGGAAUAACAGUUCCAGAGAGGGACUUCUCAGUCCAGUUGCAUCUGUGCCACUAUAAUGACUAAAGUAGCAAA